AGGCGACUUUCUGGUCUGUAACUGACACUGAGGCGCGAAAGCGUGGGGAGCAAACAGGUUUAGAUACCCUGGUAGUCCACGCCGUAAACGAUGAGUGCUAAGUGUUAGAGGGUUUCCGCCCUUUAGUGCUGAAGUUAACGCAUUAAGCACUCCGCCUGGGGAGUACGGCCGCAAGGCUGAAACUCAAAGGAAUUGACGGGGGCCCGCACAAGCGGUGGAGCAUGUGGUUUAAUUCGAAGCAACGCGAAGAACCUUACCAGGUCUUGACAUCCUCUGACAACCCUAGAGAUAGGGCUUCUCCUUCGGGAGCAGAGUGACAGGUGGUGCAUGGUUGUCGUCAGCUCGUGUCGUGAGAUGUUGGGUUAAGUCCCGCAACGAGCGCAACCCUUGAUCUUAGUUGCCAUCAUUAAGUUGGGCACUCUAAGGUGACUGCCGGUGACAAACCGGAGGAAGGUGGGGAUGACGUCAAAUCAUCAUGCCCCUUAUGACCUGGGCU
rnacentral:rRNA from 1 species